UGCACAGAACAUCACGGCAUUUGUUGUGGUAAAUAGUUCAGUGGCAAAGCGCCCGUUCCAUCUGCGGACCUCCAAAUGACCCUGAAUGCAGAGGUACAGAAAAGCUUUCCAUGCUCAUCCAGCCCAUCUCUGGUUACAUGAUAAGAAACGAGGCUGACACAGCAAUAUAAAUGUGACUACUCGCUAAGAAUGACCGCGGGUCAGGCCACAGGAUCCAGGGGAUACCCGGUAACAGAAGCUGUCAUAUUUAUCGCUGGCGUCUUCAGAGCCAGCUUGAGUAGCUGGAGACAGAGCACACAAAAGGACUAUUCAGUGCAGCCCAUGGUCUGAAAUGAAACAGAUGCGCUGUGGAAGUUUGCAAACUCCCCGGCACAGAAGGUUGGCAGAUCUGCGCUCUGUAACCAGGGCCCAUCUUCUUGGCAGAGCGCUCCGCACCCCGGUGCCAGUGGCACUGCUCCUGCUGUGCAGACGAAGGGCGGUCUGGAGGACAAAGCACUCAGCUUGGCAGUUAAAGGCAGGGAGAACUAAACCAAGGCUGAGAGCCCACUUGAGCUUUUAAGCCCUCCCACCAAUUUUGGAUGAUUGCCCUGUGGACUCAGGAAAAACUGAUCAGAUUGAAGAGAACCUCCGGGUUCGUCCUGCAAACUGCAUGUGAACUUCCCCUGAGCAGGAAAUACACACUCUUAGGAGAAGUACCAACAAGUAUCACUGGAUCCUCACUCAUGUGGGCAGACCACUGUCCUGAGAGCAGUAUGGCCACCAGAAUCAUUGCUCAGCAGUGGGACCACAGGAGCCACCCUGUGUGGGAGCUCACAGUGCUCCCUUGCAGCCCCAGAUGGGUGUCGAAGCACUGCAGGUCAGGUGCAAGGGAUGGAAGUGGUCUGCUGGGGAAUGACCACCAAUAUGGGGCUGAGGGAAUCUGAAGCCCUGGCAACAGCCAUCCAUUUACUCACCAGACAGAUUGAAAGCAUUGUACAGGACAUCCUGGAUGGACUUUUUCAAACAAUAUGCGGUUUAAUGGUGGGAUUCAUCACCACCCAAUGCUGCGGAGGCCAAAUAUAUAAACAAGUUCAAAAAUGGAUUAGCAAAACUCAUGGAAGAUAGGUCAAUCAUAGACAAUUAAAUAUGGUAGUCCGGAUGCAACUUCCAGUUCAGGAAGUUAGUCAGCCUAAUGCCUUUCCACCUCUGAUUUACUUGUAAAAAGGAAGCCUGAAAAAUUCUCCUGAUGCCAAAACUGUCCCUCGGCUCCAAGCAUUAACUACAAUCACAAUAUACUCUUUUUUAUUUGGCAGGGGGAGGGGAUUACAUUUUCGUUCAGUAAUGAUAUUACAACAUGCUAUUUAUCUCCCCCUGCAGCUCCUGGACCUCUGUGUAACCUCCCAUCUCCCUGUCCUCCUAGGAAUAUCACAAAUAAAUUAGUGAAGUCUACUGGAAGGUGAUAGCAAUCACAGAUACUGCUAAAUUCCAUUUAGCAAGGAAUAAGGAAUCCAAUCACUUAUGUACAUAGGAAAGGUCUGAGUGGAUCACACUGUUAAAACAUUCUGUCCUUCAGAGUACCGGACCAGAGGAAGGUGCUGGAAAGCCAGGAUGGAAAAAAUACGAGCUGGUUUGUCCCCAAGGAAAGUUCUUUGUAACCUCAGGACAGUUAGCACUUGAUUUAUUCCCUGACACAUGCGGGCACAGAGGCUAAUUUUAUACAUAUACACUAAAUACACACAGAGUACAUCGCACACUGUGCUGCUGUGUAUCCCCAUCCCCUUUGGACCCUGUUAAACUCCCACAGGACCCAAAGAGCAGCUGACAGCACAGGUUAUCUGCUCCCUGUCCAGCUGCCCUCCUACCUGCUGCGCUUCUACCCACUACCUCCUUUUUGAGGGUGUUUUGGGGUGUUGCUGGAGAGCAAAGGACAAGAUGACAAAUGAGCUAACACACAGCAACGGAAUGUAAGUGAGUCUCAGCUAUUUUUAAUUAAGAAGCGAUGACAGCUGACUAAAUUCCCUGACACUGCAGUUAAAGGCUCUCUGACCCAGACAUCAUUGGACACUCUCCUACGACCAAUAUAUAUGGGUCCCGACGGUGCUUCUAUUAUUGUCCCCGCCGUCUCGACAGAUGCAGGACUAACAAAAUCUAUGUCUAUUAUCAGCAUGCAAAUAGUGAGAUAAAAGUGUGAAUGCUUAUGAGCCAGAGGAGGCAGCAGGUGAGAGGAGGACAAUGAAGGUCAUUUUCAAGGGAGUGCUGAAAGUGCCAAUGUUUGGCUUUCAAUAAAUGUUCACAAGGUUUAGACAAAUUUAACUGUCAUUUUCAUUUUCGGUUGGUUAAACCAAUGAUGGAUUGACCACGAGAGAGGCAGAGAGACAGAAAGAACAGUUCCUGCUGUAAGGCAGAUAAAAGAUAAGAGGUAAGGCAGCGUGAUCUGUGGACUGACUUCUCUCAGCCCACAGAUCACAGGGAGGGCUCCACAGAGAAAGCUUAUCUUCUCAUUCCCAGACCAAAGAACCCAGCAGCCCGGUAAGGGAAUCUGGAUUUGAAGGCCAGGGAUACACCUGACUUCAUACAAGGAUUCUUUAAAAGAGCUGAGAAUACAACAAGGUGUCCAGCUCCCACUACCACAACAGGCUGCCUAUCCUGCAGUGCAACAAUACACCAUGAAUCCCAUGCUAGGCAAGGUGUCAGCUCUGCACUGCUUUAGCUGUCUUGGAAAGAUGUCAAGACGAAGAUACCAACCACACAAAGACAAUACAAAACUCACUCACUUACUCAGGGCUUGCACAGGCAAUGAAUCCAGCAUGAGAUCACUUUACCUUGAGCUCACUAGUUGGUUUCAAUAGGACAGACAAAGAAAAGAUGCCCUUCUAUCCUCUCCAAAGGAUCAUGGAGAGAAGGGGUAAACUGGCAGACACGUCAAAGUCAAACAAAUCACGUACAAACUUGGCAUGGGCGAGACAAACACAUUAAGGAACAUCAUCAGGAACUUUCCAGUAUGGUUGCACAGUGGGAGGGGGAAAGAGAUGCUUUCUGCUGUUGCUAAGACAGUUCCCCCAGCCUUAUUCUCUCUACCAACCCAAUUGACGGGUGUUCUCCUCCCAUUGGCUCACCAGCUGCAUCGAAUGAUCAUGACAGGUUUUCGUCCUCCUCGCCCUAUUGGCUUCUGCCUAUGGCCUAUUAUCAGGGGAGAGCAAAUCAGACACGUAAUCAAUAGUUUGCGAGAAGGAACAGGGCUGCAUGAUGCUACAUUUGCAUGAAAUCUCUUGCUGCUAUGCCUCUGCAUUCAGAUAAGCACAGAUUAGCUGCAUCAGCCGCGCUCGCAGAGGUGAGCGUUGAUGGCAGACGGAUAGCAAAGCAGCACUGCAGUGAGCUGCCAAGGAAAGGCAGCACUGAACGCUCCAGUCCUGCUCUACAGAAGGUAAACCAGUGUGAAUCAAAGACCACCAGCAUCCUGCCCCAGCACCAGUCUAGAUGUAUGCAGAAAACUUUUUUUGGUCGCCCACUGAACUAGUAUUCCUGGCUUGGGUGCUCCUCAGGGCAACGAGCUACGAGAAUAACAAAAAGGUGCAUAGCAGGGGAGAGAUCUUCCCUGUAGUGAUGCCCUCUCCAGCAGGGAUGUAUGAAGAUGCUUUGUUUGAAGGCCUCCAGAAGCAUUCUGGGGUAGGCAGAGAGCAUGGAAGCACUCCACAAGGCCGCAGACAGCUUUCCUGGCCAGAUACAGGAUGGUGUGUGACAAGUCAGCCUCCAUAGCCACACUCCUUGGUCACCACAAGGCCUGCAGGGACAUGGGAACAGUGGUUUCUUCAUCUUGCAGCCACAAAAACCCAUUAUUAGGCAGAAGAGCACAGCAGUAGUGGGAUAGUUUCCAGUCCCACCACAGCCCAGGUCAAGGCCUGGAACAAGAAGUGGCAGAUGAGUUGCAAUCGGUUUCCAACUAUAAGUAACGCUGCCUUGAACCAACAGCACACGUAUGAAACACCCGUGUAAAACAACCAGAUGUUGCCAAUGGAUUUCAAAUCAACCACAAAAUAAAACUCCUUCUUAAGGAUGGGAACCUCAGACACCAGGGGAUCAAGUGCACCACCAAGUCAAGCGCAGUUAACUAGUGAACCAGCCCCAGCCUUAAAGCUUUAAAUUCACUGACGAAAUAUCCCCAGGCAUGUUUGGACAACAGGGAACAGCAGCCCUUUGGCUAUUUUCCUUUGCCACACAGGUGACUCAGUAUCCGGACUACAGAAGAAAAACUGGUGUUUCCUUUUCUGUCCAGGACCACAAGUGACUGGCAGCAGAAGGAGCUCAGUCCAGCUUCCAGCCUGCUCCUAACAGAGGAACACACAACUAAAAGAGGCCAAGGAACCCAGCAAACCCAUCCACUGCAGUUGGACAUGUGCACAUUCAAUGUACAUACACAGUCCAUGUGCUUUCUUCCCUUUACAAUAAGCAGGUUCAUUUAGGAAGAGUUAUAACUUAGACUGCUAUAGCCCAACUACGAGGCAAGACAGGAAAAUAUUCUCUGGAAAUUUCCACUGCCAACCUAUUUUUUUUUUCUGGAGGAGCAGUUGGACAAAAUACAGUGGAUCAGUUAAAAAAAAUUCUAAGUUUUUGACCUGAAUUCAUUCAUAUUUCUCACAUCGGUGGGGAUGGUUUCUUCAACAUAAGGUGGACUUUGAAGUUAGAAGGCAGAAAGAGAAAAGAGCCCAUCUAAUAAUCAGGUUCAAACCCCUACUUGAUCUCACCCUGUAAGGACCUUGAAUUAGGUCUACAGUUACCUAUCUGGCUUCAAGUAUUUUGGGAUCUCUCCCCAGCUGAUAUGGUCUAAGUUGCAUCCUAAGGCAGAACAGGAAGAAUGCUCUGAGUUCUCAAAAACGUUCAUGACUUUGGACAAAUACAUUAUAUUCAGCUUCAAAACAACUCCGUUCUCUUUUUGAUCUUAUGUAAUAGUCUAGAUGUCUGUGUUUUGAUUCCUCCCAAUUGUGCACUGAAACUGGUACAGAGCUCCAUGAAAGAAAAUUAAUGGACUGGAAGGAAACGUACACUUUUUUCUCUCUCUAAACCAUGUGCCUCUUUCCAGAGAAGAAAAGCAUGAAAUUUAGCAACAACUGAGCUGAUAAAACAAACUCAAAUAAGAACUCCUAUCAUAAGCUAAGUCUGCUUCAGCCACUCAAGAAGAUGGUACCAAUGAAUGAAGCCUUGUAGAUCAAUAAAAACCUCUUAAAUAAAACGAGAGCUCUUUCAGACUAAUUCAAGAAGCAUCCUACAAUGAAAAAAGAUUCUGUCCCUGAUGGCCUGGGAUCAGACUUCUUUUCUCCAUACUCUUAGUGCCUACACAACGGCAUUUAUCUGGACCAAUUAGAUUCUUACCAGGAACGUGUAGGAAAUACUCCACGCAAAGGUGAAGCUGCUAUGUUACAACCUAUGUUGCUCUGACUAUUAUGGUGAUCAGUUCACUUUUGAUUGAGCACUUCAUCACCAAAAUAGGAAGGGGUUCUCCCUUACCUGGGAAUGAAUUCAGUCCUGAAUGGCCUUGUUGGUGAGUUUGCAGCAAGAAGGCAAAAAAGGAUGGAUGCGCACUUCUUCGUCUCCACCUCGCAGCAGGCACAACCUAGGAUAACAACAAUGAGAAACAUAUAGAUAUAAGCCCAAUGGAUGAUCAGGCAGCAAACAUAGGGACGGGAAGGAAAUAAAACCUCUGAGCCUUUCUCGGGGAUACAGAGUGCUCAGACACCUUCUGCUAUCUGUUCAUCCCACAGCAAUACCGAGACGUUCUGUACAGCCCCAACGGCCGUACGCAGCAGUGCAGGCAAAGGAAACAAAGCUGGAGCUCAAGCAGGGGAACACUGGUGUUCACAGGUCUGCUUCCACACCCCAGCCCUGCUCAUGAUAUAUCUGUCUCUAGCUCACAGCUUGGACCUCAGGGCUUUCAGGCUGCCAUUUACCAGCAGUCCUGGUGGAGAAGGAGGAGUCAAGAAACCCGAGAGCCAUUUCUGAGCCAAAAGGUUUUGUUCAGAUUCAUUUUCAACUUUUCAUUUUGAAAUGUUUUCAUAAUUCCCAGCAUCUCUCCUUUCAGAUCUGCCUCACUUUAAAAAAUGCUGGAAUGUCACUGCUCUUCUAAUUGUUGUUCCAUAGAGAGAACUAUUUUCUGUAUGCAUUUCAGAAUUGUUACAAGAAACAAUCCAAGAAUAUAGCCAUCCUUUCUUAGUACACUGUAUAACUGUUCAUGAAGGGUUUCAACUUCUGUCUUGAUCUGCUUCUUGUUUGUUUCCCAGCUUCAUCUCAUUAGUACAAUAUCUGAAGGAGUUCAUAUUAUUAAUAAAGCCAAACCACAGGAAUACAUCUCGUAACUGCUCUAUUUCUCUGAUGCCGAAGGCUAGUAAAAGGUCUCCAAACUUCAAUUUCAUCUUUUAAUAGUUCUAUGCAAGGUAACUCAACGUUACUAGUCCCAUUUUGCUAUUAAACAGAGGCACGGAAGAGUGAUAAGAACAGUCCCAGGCCAUAAAACAAGUAGAAAAAGACAACCAAACCCUGAGUCCUGAUCCACAGCCUCCUGCUCCGUCCCAGAGGACAACAUUCUUUCCUAUGACUACUAAAAAUAUUGGGGUCUCCUGUGAAACAGACGGCAGUGCUAAUUUUUGAGGUGAAACGAGCUACCCAGCAUGGGAAACCAUGGAAGAGAAUAUAAUACUCUCAACUUCCUGAACUAUUGUACAAUAAACAGCUUCAGAGCUGGUUUCCCACAGAGACACCUGUAUUUUAGGAACAGAUAAGAAACGACACGUGCAUAUACAUGGUCACACCUUCUUUUUUCCUAGCUGCAUACACAUAUAUAGCCAACAUGCACAAAAAUAAAAUACAUGUGUGUAUAUUAAAUAUGCAUCCAUCCGUAUCAAAGUCACCACAACCAGAAGGAGCUUUGAAGUUUGACUCAGCACGGCCUGAAAAAAAAUGCACAGAAGCACAAGAGCCAGCAAAUCCUGAGCUCAGACCCAAGAUGUGACUCACCAGGUCGUCGGGAGCAACUCAAUACUUUCACUGCCUUGGUUUCCCCAGCUGUAAAACAGAGCUAAUUACACCACAGCGCAGAUGUGGGAAUGAGCUGCCUGCUCUGUGCACAGUGCUUCAGGCACAGAAAAUGCAAAGACCUGCUUGAAUGAGAGUCUGAAGCCAAGGCACUUCCUUCAAGAUGCCUCUCCCCAGCAGCCACGCAUUGCACCUGCCCAUAAAACGCCCGAGCUUCCCAUUUGUCCAUUGGUCACAACUUUAUGCCCUUCCCUCAACAUGUGCCACCCCACAGCCCUCUCCCAACGUCACCACCUGGCUACCUCUCCAUAUAUUUCUAUAACUCUUCAGAAGUGCUACAUAAGCCAGGAGUGCCUUUGGUACCAAUGCCAGUGGCUCUCAUGAAUGCCGACUCUUAAAACAGAGAGAAUAAGCAAACUAACCUUGUUAGUUUCCAGGCUCAUUUGUUUAGGAUGACAGAUUGACAAACAUGGUCUCUUCCACCUUUUUCUUUUUACAAACAGCUUUUUAUAUCUCAUACCCCAAAAUAAGCCCUGACCCAGCUGCGCUGCCAUGUUAAACAGUAAUUACUCUAUAUAAGGCUGACCGAAUGGGAAUAUUUGUGGGACAGUGGAAUGGAAUUAUUUUAGGACUUACACAAACUCUCUCUGGGAGUGGCAAGGCUGGCUGUGGGUAAUGUGGUGUACCUAAGAAACAAGUGGACACAGGAAGGUUUUUUCUUCUUCUUCCAGGCCUCCAUUAAAACACACGAUAGCUGACAUUAAACCACUUUCCCAAACUUCUACUCAGGUAAAAAGAUAAAACUAAAAAAAAUGUAUUAAAAAUACAUAUUAAUGUUUCAUCCUGGCUACAUUAAGGAUGCACUCACCAUCUUUUGGCCACAUCUGGGCCCACUGGAUACUUGUUACUCACAGAGGAUGAGCCCAUCAAUACAUCAACCCCUUCCCCUCUCAAGUACUCAGAGCAUCAUUUCCAAGGACCUCAUUUGAAGCAGGUGUGAGCUUGCAAACAGAACUGCUCUCACCUGGGGCACGGCCUGCCUUGUAGGAGGGUGGGGAUCUCUGCGGGGAAUCCUAGAGGAGGCUGAUAGAGCUUACAGAGUGGCAAUGCUCAGUUCAAAAAACCUGCAGAAAUUAGUGGCAUGCCAUUCUGGUGCAAGUGGCAGUUUUCCAGUUUCCAAAAUAUCCCUCCUCCUUAUGUCACGGUAAAAAAGUGUAAAAACAGAAAGUGGUUUAGCAAGUAGGAACAUUGCAAUUCAAAAUAGCAUCAGAGAGGAUUAGAGCAAAUACCCAGACUGUUCUAACGUGUGUUUACGGCCCAAAUACUGUACCAAUUCCUGUUAUUUUCAGGGCUUUCUUCCUGUGUUGUAACAUUCUCUCUGGGAUUAAACUUGGCCCAUACAACAUGUGACUCAUCUGACUGCAAGUCCUUGGGCAUGUGCUGCAGGUUUGGUUGCUGCUCAUCGCUGACGACCCAUCCUACAACCUCAGAGCCCAAUGCAACACAUUACACUGGGACUUUUGCUGAAGGGGUAGGAAGAAAAUGACAGCAUCUGCCUAACGCUAAAUUUUCACGCUUAAUUAAGGACUUGAAAAAUAAGUCAGUUUUCUGAGCAGGAUGGUGGGUGAAAAAUAAAAGAAAGUGAGUUUUUAAUGAUUUCAGAGAAACACGAGCCCAUUCUCUCGUCACUGUGCACCCUUGCAGCCAGGAAUUUCAUGUUAAAAAUUCGUUGCUAUGGAACUCAUGUUAUCUGCAGCAUGGAGCACUGCUGAUGGCCAAGCUAAUCCCAGGUGGCACUCCUCUGCCUUCACUGAUGUAAAACAGAUUCACUGCUUUCAGGUUUGCCUUUCAUUCUACCUGACUUCCUGCGUUCCAGAAGGUAACUCCUUUUUCUGCUCCUGUCUCUGAUUAGUUCUUUGUGUUACCUCUACACGAUGAGAUUAUUCAAUACUGAACCCAACCUGCUGGUCUUCAUUCUCCUUCUGUAACCUGCACAAGUACCAGCACCCCACCAAAACUCCCUUCUGACACAGUAUUGCCUUCAGAGUUAGUGUGAAACUCACAGGUGAGCUCAAUUUUAGCUGUAAUGAGGCACAAGAUGUAGCAGGAGCUAACUGAAAGAAUAAGAAUUCAAAGAAUAGAAACAGGGAAAAAAAUCAACUGUGCAGAAGUAAUGGAUUUGUGAGCCUAGCAACAGGCUACGAGGUCUUCUAGCUCUUAAUUAUCACUUCAAAUCAUAAUUAUCAAAGGUCUUCCAAUAGAAAGAAAAAAAAAAAGAUAAUCACUUCCACUGACUGAAUGCUGAAUAUCUCACCUGGAAGCAGAUAAGCAGAUCCCCCCCGAGGUCGUUUGCCAGUGGGAAGGAGCAACCAUAAACUGGGAAAGCAGCUUCUGUUGUCUGGUUUAGAGAAGGGACUUCACCAGUACUGGCAGAUCCUGAAAGAGAAGGAAAUUCUUGCUCAGUGGUGGAAUUAGAAGCGAUGGGAGGCCAUGUUGGGAGGAAGUACUGCACACCAAGUUGGGAGGAAGCAUUGGACACCACGUUGGGAGGAAGCACUGGACGUGCCUGGGGGAAGGAAGGCCUGGUGUAGGGAUGCAGACAGGCUGCAUGGUUGGGCUGAGGCCAGCUGUAGGAGGCUCAACAAGACCAAGUGCCAACUUUUAGAUUCACCCUCCUAA
rnacentral:lncRNA from 1 species